rnacentral:rRNA from 1 species
AUUGAACGCUGGCGGCGUGCCUAACACAUGCAAGUCGAGCGGUAACAGGUGUAGCAAUACAUGCUGACGAGCGGCGGACGGGUGAGCAAUAUUUGGGAAUCUGCCUAUUAGUGGGGGAUAACCCGGGGAAACUCGGGCUAAUACCGCAUACGCUCUACGGAGGAAAGCGGGGGAUUCGCAAGAACCUCGCGCUCAUGGAGCGGCCGAUAUCUGAUUAGCUAGNGGUAGGGUAAAGCCUACCAAGGCAUCGAUCAGUAGCUGGUCUGAGAGGACGACCAGCCACACUGGGACUGAGACACGGCCCAGACUCCUACGGGAGGCAGCAGUGGGAAUUUUGGACAAUGGGCGCAAGCCUGAUCCAGCAAUGCCGCGUGAGUGAAGAAGGCCUGGUUGUAAGUA